rnacentral:rRNA from 1 species
GAUGAACGCUGGCGGCGUGCCUAAUACAUGCCAGUCGAGCGAACAGACGAGGAGCUUGCUCCUCUGACGUUAGCGGCGGACGGGUGAGUAACACGUGGAUAACCUACCUAUAAGACUGGGAUAACUUCGGGAAACCGGAGCUAAUACCGGAUAAUAUAUUGAACCGCAUGGUUCAAUAGUGAAAGACGGUUUUGCUGUCACUUAUAGAUGGAUCCGCGCCGCAUUAGCUAGUUGGUAAGGUAACGGCUUACCAAGGCAACGAUGCGUAGCCGACCUGAGAGGGUGAUCGGCCACACUGGAACUGAGACACGGUCCAGACUCCUACGGGAGGCAGCAGUAGGGAAUCUUCCGCAAUGGGCGAAAGCCUGACGGAGCAACGCCGCGUGAGUGAUGAAGGCCUUCGGAUCGUAAAACUCUGUUAUUAGGGAAGAACAAAUGUGUAAGUAACUAUGCACGUCUUGACGGUACCUAAUCAGAAAGCCACGGCUAACUACGUG